AUGCUUGUCUCAAAGAUUAAGCCAUGCAUGUCUAAGUAUAAGCAAUUUAUACAGUGAAACUGCGAAUGGCUCAUUAAAUCAGUUAUCGUUUAUUUGAUAGUACCUUACUACUUGGAUAACCGUGGUAAUUCUAGAGCUAAUACAUGCUUAAAAUCCCGACUGUUUGGAAGGGAUGUAUUUAUUAGAUAAAAAAUCAAUGUCUUCGGACUCUUUGAUGAUUCAUAAUAACUUUUCGAAUCGCAUGGCCUUGUGCUGGCGAUGGUUCAUUCAAAUUUCUGCCCUAUCAACUUUCGAUGGUAGGAUAGUGGCCUACCAUGGUUUCAGCGGGUAACGGGGAAUAAGGGUUCGAUUCCGGAGAGGGAGCCUGAGAAACGGCUACCACAUCCAAGGAAGGCAGCAGGCGCGCAAAUUACCCAAUCCCGACACGGGGAGGUAGUGACAAUAAAUAACGAUACAGGGCCCUUUCGGGUCUUGUAAUUGGAAUGAGUACAAUGUAAAUACCUUAACGAGGAACAAUUGGAGGGCAAGUCUGGUGCCAGCAGCCGCGGUAAUUCCAGCUCCAAAACGUAUAUUAAAGUUGUUGCAGUUAAAAAGCUCGUAGUUGAACCUUGGGCUUGGUUGGCCGGUCCAUCUUUCUGAUGCGUACUGGACCCAACCGAGCCUUUCCUUCUGGCUAGCCUUUUGGCGAACCAGGACUUUUACUUUGAA
rnacentral:rRNA from 1 species